GACGUAGGGCGCGAGCGUUGUCCGGAUUUAUUGGGCGUAAAGAGCUCGUAGGCGGCUUGUCGCGUCGAAUGUGAAAUCUCAGGGCUCAACUCUGACAUUGCAUUCGAUACGGGCAGGCUAGAGUUCGGUAGGGGAGACUGGAAUUCCUGGUGUAGCGGUGAAAUGCGCAGAUACCAGGAGGAACACCGGUGGCGAAGGCGGGUCUCUGGGCCGAUACUGACGCUGAGGAGCGAAAGCGUGGGGAGCGAACAGG
rnacentral:rRNA from 1 species